rnacentral:rRNA from 1 species
AUGGUUUCUUCCGAGAGACGUCAAGUUGAUGAACAUGUCAAUAAGAUCAUUGAACUGAAAAAUAAGGUAUUUUGCUUAGUGUGUCCCCUCCUCUCUCUCUCUCUCUCUCUCUCUCUCUCUCUGCUUGCGCGUUUCUAUGACAUGCAGUUUCUCUCAGGAAGUUACAAUAGUUUUGUGGUGAUCAACCAGAAAAUCAUUGGUCCUCCAUCCAUCAAUCUCCUAGCUAAACUAGGGGUAACAAAAUCUGACUUGUUACUACAUGAAUGUUCUAUUUCACUUACAUUUAACCCUAUGAGCUGUUUGGGGUUCCAGUUUAGUGCAGAAUGUGGGUCAUGA